UCUUUCCUCCUGCACUCUCGGCGCAAGCGUAAGGAAGGGAUCAGCAAAUCUUCUCUCUGCUGCUCAUUCCGAGGCUCGCUUGGCUGCUCCGCUUCUUCAAUCCUCGUCUCGGAGGCCUCUGCUCUGCAACCCUCAACUGUUCAUCCUCUGGAGCCGCUCUUUCAUUGCCCGACCGAAGUCAUAGAGGAUUCUGAUGGCGGACCGCAGUGUUAGCAAUGCAGUUGCUAAGCCCAUAUGGAUGAAGCAAGCUGAGGAGGCCAAGCUGAAGAGCGAGGCGGAGAAAACAGCGGCUGCAAAGGCGGCAUUCGAGGCUACGUUCAGGGAGGUGGACAAGAACCGCGAGGAGGAGGAGGCGGCGGCGGACUCCUCUGACAGCGAAUCUGAGGAGGCUGAGGAUUUGGCAAACAAGCCAAUUGGGCCGGUGGAUCCCACCAAGUGCAUGGCGGCUGGAGUGGGAAUAGCUGGUGGGACAGCAUGUGCCCCGGCUUCUUUUAUGGUUACCACGAAGGAUGCGGAGGGGAGGAAAGUCCCUAAUGGAGGCUCUGAGAUAAAGGUCAAGGUGGUUCCAGGAGUUGGGGUUGGAGGUUCGGAGCAAGAAGGGAUUGUGAAGGAUAUGGGGGAUGGCACUUACACGGUUACUUAUGUCGUGCCCAAGAGAGGGAAUUACAUGGUCCAUAUUGAUUGUAAUGGGAAACCCAUCAUGGGUAGCCCUUUUCCUGUGUUUUUCAGUGGAGGUGCUUCUACUGGAGGGCUGCUUGGUGUUGCUCCUACACCUUCAUAUCCCAAUCUGGUCAACCAAACCAUGCCUAACAUGCCAAAUUAUACAGGCUCUGUUUCUGGGGCCUUUCCAGGAUUGAUGGGUAUGAUUCCUGGUGUUACACCUGGUUCUUCGGGAGGUGCUAUUUUGCCUGGAGUUGGAGCCUCUCUUGGUGAAAUUUGUCGCGAUUAUCUUAAUGGAAGGUGUGCCAAGUCAGGUUGCAGCCUGAGUCACCCCCCUCACAACUUGCUGAUGACUGCAUUGGCUGCGACAACUACGAUGGGAACUCUCAGUCAAGCACCCAUGGCACCGUCUGCUGCAGCUAUGGCUGCUGCUCAAGCUAUUGUGGCUGCGCAGGCACUUCAGGCUCAUGCAGCUCAGGUUCAAGCACAAUCUGCAAAGGAUAUGUCAGUUUCAGCAGACAAAGAUGUAAAUGGUGAUGCACUGAAGCGAACAGUGCAAGUCAGCAAUCUCAGCCCACUUCUAACAGUGGAUCAGCUAAAAGAGCUUUUUGGCUAUUUUGGUAUUGUUAAAGAAUGCACUGUAACAGAUUCAAAGCACUUUGCUUACAUAGAAUACUCAGAGCAAAAGGAAGCUACUGCUGCUCUUUCUCUGAAUAAUAUGGAAGUUGCGGGCCGCCCCCUUAACAUUGAGAUGGCAAAAUCACUUCCCCAGAAACCAGCUAUCUCGAACUUACCUCUGGCCUCACCUUCUCUGCCAAUGAUGAUGCAGCAAGCUGUUGCCAUGCAGCAAAUGCAAUUUCAGCAGGCAUUGCUAAUGCAACAGACAAUGAAUGCACAGCAGGCAGCUAAUAGAGCUGCUACUAUGAAGUCUGCAGCAGAGUUAGCUGCUGCAAGGGCUGCUGAAAUAAGUAAAAGACUGAAGGCUGAUGGGGUUGUAGAGGACAAUGAGGCUACCGCUGCAAAGUCUAGGUCGCCUUCUCCCUCUCGUGCAAGGUCGAAAUCAAAAUCAAGAUCACCUAUCAACUACAGGAGGCGGCAUAGGUCUCCCUCUUACUCGCCUCCGCUGCGGCGUCGAAGAGACUAUAGAUCUAGGUCACCUUUAAAAUCUCGCCACCACUUGAGCUAUGAGAGUGAACUUCGAUCCCAUAGAGACAGAGAUAGUUAUGGCAGUGACAGGAUUAGGAGGCGGGCUUCUGAUAGAUUGCGUGAUCGCCAUUCACCUGUAUCAAGGAGAAAUAGGAGCAGGAGCAUUAGCCCUCGGGCAAGGAAAUCUUAUCGAGUUGAUUCUGAAUCACCAAAGCAUCGCCGUGAAAGUUCUCAUAAAUCACGGAAAUCAUCCCGUGUAUUAUCAGUAUCACCCAGGCGCCACAGGGAUUCGAGGUCAUCUCCCAGGAAUGAUGAUAGAGAGAAAUCAGAAAGCAGGGGGAGGUCAAGGUCAAGAUCAAUAUCUGCAGAAGCAAAUCGAGAUUCCGAGGACAGAAAAGGUAGAAGUAGUCGACGUGAAAGGAGACGGUCAAGUUCCAUAACAAAAUCCAUUGAGCGGAAGCAGCACUCUGAUGAAGAUCCAGAUGAAACUAGAGAAGAAAAGGAUUGCAGGAGAAGUCAAUCAAGGUCACCAUCUAUUGAAGGUAAGCGGAGUUCCCGCCAUAAAAAAAAGGAAACAAGGGAUGAAAGAUCAACAUAUCAUGCGCGUAAGCGGUCUAGGUCAAGAUCUUCAGAGCAUAAACGUUACUCAAAGGAUAAAGUGGAUGAUAGCCGAACUGAUACUUCCAGGCAUCGUAACAGAAGGCGUUCGCGGUCGAAAUCUGUUGAGGAUAGGCAUCGGAGAGACAGAGACACUAAAUCGAGACAUCGAAGGCGUUCAAGGUCUAAGUCUGAAGAACACAGGCAUCAGAGGAGUGAUCCAUUUGAUGAAGGUCGAGGCAAAGAAUCUGGGUCACGCAGAAGACGGAGGUCCAGAUCAGUUUCAACAGAAAAAGAUCAUAGUAAGGAAAGCUUGUCGUCUAAAAGAAGUGGGCUGAAGCGAGAAAGGUCUAGAUCAAAUUCUGCAGAAAGCAGGGAACAUGAUACUGCUAAAAAGGGUCAUGCUGAAGAUGGGAAAUUGAAAAAAAGUGAGCAGAGGAGGAGGCAUGGUACUUUGUCUUCACCAAAUGGUGGUAUCGAGUCCGAGCACCGCAACUCCCACUCCCUUAAUAUAGGGGAGGACAUUGGAACAAAAGAAUGUGAAGAAAAGUAUAGAGGGGACUCAUCAAACUGUCAGAAAAGUUAUGAGAAAGGUUCGGCAUUGCACUCCUUGGACCUAAAAGAAAUAAGGAGUCGAGGAUUGGAAAAUUCGGAUCAUGGGGAUCUUGAUAAUGCAAUUGAAGUUGAUGAUAUCAACAGAUUUGACUCGAGCAAGGACCUUAAUUUCUCUGAUCAUGAGUCAGGUUAACUGAGCUGGGACAAAUUAGCUCUUUCCCAGGUGGAGUUCUGUUUUGGGAGGAUCAGGGGUGAAUGGUAGAGGCCUGCUAAAUUGGAACCAAGAUGCUGUCUGCUACAACUAGGACUCCAUGCUGUGGAUCUCGAGGAAUAUGGUUUCAGCCAUGAGAGCUCUCUUCUUGUUGAAGAAGCUUGUUUCACAUUAACAUACUGGCUUGAAAGAUUACUCUUCUACUUACGAGGAGGACGUUACUUAGAAGAUCACCUCUGCUUAUUUCUUGUUUCUGCCAGUCAUUGGCUAGCCAUAAAUGUGGACACUGUUUUGCUUCAUCUUUUGCAGGCGGCUCUGGAACUGAUUGGAGAUUGUCUGUGAGGUUAUCUUCAUAUGGUUGAACUAUUUGAAGAAGUAUUCUGCCUUCGCUUGUGGUCAGCUAUUCAAUGUGAUGCAUGGUGAUAUUAUUGGAGCUCUCUGAGAUCAGUAUGGGCAGGGUUAAGUUCCUCUGGUAUAAUAAAGGCAUCAAGACUGAAGUGAGACCAGUUGCUGGGAUGAAUUCAUUCACAUUGCGCAAUGACGAGUAAUAGCAGGUUGGGUAAUCCAAUUUGUUUAUAUUAAGCGGUGAAACACUGGUGUUGAUAGGAACAGGUAAUUUCUUUGAAAAUCCUGCAUGGAAGUUUCAGCUCUGCUAGAUGAUAUGCUCUGCUACUUGCUAGGCUGGGACAGUGCGCAUUAAGUAAUAAUUUCUGCGUUUCAGAGAAUUGGAAAAUUGCCCAAAUAGUUCCCCCUGAUGUUUUUCGCAAAAUGAUAAACCCCGUUUUUGGAAGGAAUAAGUGACUUUGCCCGCUGUGUCUUGUUCAUUCUCCUCGCCAUUUUCAGUCUCACCUAACAAUGGCCUCUGUUCAGAUGAUUUUGGCUGUCUUGUGGUUGAUGCGGAAAAGUUGUGAAAUAGCACCGCACCGCGCUGGCUGCGGUUAUAGCGAGUGUUGAUAUUCUCGUCUUGAACGAGGUUAGAUGUAGUUUUAGGUGUCAAGUAGCCCAAUGCACUUCAUUCCCAAGGAAGGGAGGAUAUCUGCGUGGUUGUGUCUCAUUUUUGUUAGGUUUCCUUUCAUGGAUUAGGUUCUCUGCAUAUUUCCCAGGUUUCAAAGUUUGGAGGGUGUCCCCCCCUUGUUAUGCACUGUAUGGCAAAGCGUGUCUUGUUAGGUGUCCCUCCCUUGUUAUGCACUGUAUGGCAAAGCAAAGCGUGUCCUGUUAGUUGAGGUACUAGGCGCGGGGUGAACACCAUGGUUGAGGAAACUAUGGGAGAAGUAACAAACCGAAGAGGAUGGAGAGCAGUUGAUUUGAUUGCCUAAUUGAAGCUACCAUUUAUGCUUGUGUCCUUCCUUGAACAUAUUUCUUUCUCCUUGAUUUUCUUUUCCCAUGUAAGCUUGGUUGCCACGCGGAUAUUAUAUUUGAAAGCUGUCUGCUCAUGAUUUUGC